UCUGUUUGCGCGCGCUCGGCGUGUGGGCCCUGUGGCGGGCGCCGGGCGGGGAGGUCGCCUGCGCCGCCGACAUCGCAGCGACUCUCCGGCUGUGCUCUGCUCCACCACCCAACCACACUUUCGACGUACUCCAGGAGGAUUCAACCGGCUGUUACUGGAGCCCGCGCCGUGCUGCUCCCAUUUGACGACCACGCGACAAGAUGUUGGAAAGUCCUCUUUCAGCAGAAGGUUGCUAUACACUCGUGUAGGUUCAAGUCAGAUCAUUAUAGGGAUAUUUCCUAGAUCUAUCUGGAGGAUUUUUUUUAAGAAACAGUUGAUUGGUGAAUCUCUCUGUUAGUACGGAGAGAAUAGUCCAGAUAUGAAGGGACUUCAAUACUGUGGCUCAGGUCAAGCAACCGCAUCCACAGAACCUUAUCAUAAAAAGCACACUAAAGCACUUGCCCAGCAAAGGUUAGCUAUGCAUUGUCGAAAAUUUAUGUAAUGAAUAUGUUAUACGAUUAAAUUUCACAAACUACAGAUGACCAUACAUCUGAAACCAUGAGUAAAUCUAUAAUCUCUGGGCAUUCAAAUUUGAACCCAGUCACCUAUGUCAAGGGAAAGCUAAGCUAAACAUAAUCAGGUUAUUAAAUAUGCAUGCACUAACUUUUCUGAGAGUAAAACUCAUAUAAUAUUUCCUUGCAAAUAAGUGUAAAUAUGUGUUGGCAAUAGUAAGAGUUUAGUAGCCAAACGUUGUCCUUUUGAUGUUUCUGAACUUUAACAGGAGAUAUAUGCUCAAAGUACUUCGUGUAACAGGAAUGUAAUAAAUUAGCCUUGUUAGUGUUUAUGUAUUUGAUUUACAACUGUUCUUUCCAUGGGCAUUUGUUAGUUGGAUGUCUAUUGUUAAACAGAUGAGGUAUAAUGGAGCACAUGGAAAGUUUGCCAAAAAACACACUCA